AGAAUCUGCCAAUCACGGCACAGAGCUGCCAGACCCGGCAUCAGCAGCUGCCCGCCCACCACCACCAGACUGGCAACCAUCGUCAUGGAGAAGCGCCAACCGGGCAAACACAGCUCAAUCCCUAAGAGAGAGCACGGCAAGCGUCCUCUGGUAGUCAUUGUGUCCCCAGGCUGUAAGUGAUCUACUCCACAGAGAGCAGUCUCAACCUAUUUAUGGGUCAGGGGUCGGGGGGAACCUGGAGCCUAUCCCAGAGACACCCUGGACGGGAUGCCAACUCUUCGGAGGGCACAUUCACACACACUCGCAUUCACACACUACGGACAACAUAGAGAUGCCAAUCAGCCUACAACACAUCUUUGGCCUGGCGGAGGAAACACUUGAAGCACAGUGAAAAUAUGCAAACUCCACACACACACAGGGUGGAGGUGGGAAUCAAGCCCCCAACCCUGGAGGUGCGAGGCAAGCGUACUAACACUAAGCCACCAUGCCCCCCUGUGGCCUAAUCCAUUAUUAUGAUUAUUAAUAAACAUGAACUCUACCAAUAUUCAU